ACGCUCGACACCUACGGGAGGCAGCAGUUGGGAAUAUUGGACAAUGGAGGAAACUCUGAUCCAGUGACGCUGCGUGAAGGAAGAAGGUCUUCGGAUUGUAAACUUAUUUUGUCAGGGAAGAAAAAAUGACUGUACCUGAAGAAAAAGCACCGGCUAACUACGUGCCAGUAGCCGCGGUAAUCUGAGCGGGCUGGCAAGGC
rnacentral:rRNA from 1 species